UAACGACUCUCGGCAACGGAUAUCUCGGCUCUCCCAUCGAUGAAGAACGUAGCGAAAUGCGAUACUUGGUGUGAAUUGCAGAAUCCCGUGAACCACCGAGUCUUUGAACGCAAGUUGCGCCCGAAGCCAUUAGGCCGAGGGCACGUCUGCCUGGGCGUCUCACA
rnacentral:rRNA from 1 species